UACAGAGGGGGCAAGCGUUGUUCGGAUUCACUGGGCGUAAAGGGUGCGUAGGUGGUCGGGUAAGUCUGAUGUGAAAUCUCCGAGCUUAACUCGGAAACUGCAUCGGAUACUAUUCGGCUCGAGGGUUGGAGGGGGGACUGGAAUGCUUGGUGUAGCAGUGAAAUGCGUAGAUAUCAAGCGGAACACCAGUGGCGAAGGCGAGUCCCUGGACAACUCCUGACACUGAGGCACGAAAGCUAGGGGAGCAAACAGG
rnacentral:rRNA from 1 species